GACGAACGCUGGCGGCGUGCUUAACACAUGCAAGUCGAACGGAAAGGCCCCCAUCUUGGUGGGGGUGCUCGAGUGGCGAACGGGUGAGUAACACGUGGGUGAUCUGCCCUGUACUUCGGGAUAAGCUUGGGAAACUGGGUCUAAUACCGGAUAGGACCAUGGUUUAGUGUCUCAUGGUGGAAAGAUUAUUGUUUUGGUGCAGGAUGAGCUCGCGGCCUAUCAGCUUGUUGGUGGGGUAAUGGCCUACCAAGGCGUCGACGGGUAGCCGGCCUGAGAGGGUGGACGGCCACAUGGGGACUGAGAUACGGCCCAGACUCCUACGGGAGGCAGCAGUGGGGAAUAUUGCACAAUGGGCGCAAGCCUGAUGCAGCGACGCCGCGUGGGGGAUGACGGCCUUCGGGUUGUAAACUCCUUUCGUUAGGGACGAAGCCGCACUUUUUUUGGGUGUGGUGACGGUACCUUUGUUAAGAAGCACCGGCUAACUACGUG
rnacentral:rRNA from 1 species